UCUCGACGGUAAAACUCUCCGGCC
rnacentral:siRNA from 1 species